CAGUAGCCGCGGUAAAACGAAGGGGGCUAGCGUUGCUCGGAAUGACUGGGCGUAAAGGGCGCGUAGGCGGCGAUCAAAGUCAGGCGUGAAAUUCCUGGGCUCAACCUGGGGGCUGCGUUUGAUACUUGAUUGCUAGAGUGGGGAAGAGGGUCGUGGAAUUCCCAGUGUAGAGGUGAAAUUCGUAGAUAUUGGGAAGAACACCGGUGGCGAAGGCGGCGACCUGGUCCUUGACUGACGCUGAGGCGCGAAAGCGUGGGGAGCAAACAGGAUUAGAUACCCCCGUAGUCCCUGUCUCUUAUAC
rnacentral:rRNA from 1 species